GUCACCGCAACGUCACGACCUCAGCGCGGCAGCCCGCCGGCAGGGCUGUGCGGGGGGCGGCGGCGGCCGGGGCCAGGCCCGGGGCCCAGCCAGGCACAGCGCCCGCGGUGUGUGUGCUACGUGGAGUACCUAGUGUCGGUGGAGUGAGUGCUGUGAGUGUUCCGAGUGACAGCCGGCGUCAGCGCGACUUCGGAGGAGGACCAAGCAGCGCGACGUGCGCAUGGAUCUUACGGAAACGUGAACUCUGACCCCAGGUGCUGCAGCAGACACUUCGGAACGUCGCUUCGCUUGCAGGGUAACCAACGUCGCGCGGGGGCGCCAUUUUACAGCAAUUUCCCUCUUCCCCGUGCCUGAUGCUGCCUCAAAGACGAAGCUGAAUCCGUUCUCCGUGGCACAGCCCACAUCGAGCGCUUAGUCUACGACACAGCGGGGGAUCAGUCGGGAUCGUGUUUCCUUCGAUUGGCACCGAGAAAGAAAUCUGGAACCAGCGGUGUGCGGUGGCGCUGCGCGCCUUCUGCCUGCCGGGCUCAGUUACACCUGGCAGCCGGUCAUAGGUUGGGGUCACUCCAGCGCACGGCGGCCCCCGAUAUGAUACAAUAUAUCAGAUAGAGAACGGCGGUGUUUGCAAGAUCCGUACACGCCUAAGAAAAAAAACAACAGAUCUUUCCAAGAAUAUUCAACCUCUUUUCGAAUUGUUAAGAUGCUUAUUUUUUCUACGGAACACUGCAUUUUCCAUUUUUGCA